rfam:Exophiala mesophila strain CBS 40295 unplaced genomic scaffold supercont1.2, whole genome shotgun sequence.
GGCGGGAUGGCCUAAUGGUAAGGCGUUGCUUUCCGGUCCGAGUUCUGCACUUCCUCCAGGUGCUCUCCUUUGGAUCAUGGCAAAGAUUGUGGGUUCGAGUCCCAUUUCCGUCG